GGAGGUGUAGCUCAGUGGUUGAGUGCCUGCUUUGUGUGUAGGAGGUCCCUGGUUCAAUUCUUGGUACCUCCU
rnacentral:tRNA from 1 species